rnacentral:lncRNA from 1 species
CUUGUGAGCAUGUAGAUAAAAACAAGAAAUAGGGUUUGGGGGAUUCUGGGGUUUCCAAUGAGUAGGGAGGGGGGAAAAAGAGAGCUCUGAGAUGUACUUAAAAAUGAAUUUUAACACUUCCGAAAAUCCAAGCUGAAAAAACAAUAGAAGAGGUUCCUGCUGCUCACAGCUAACAAAUGGAUUUUUUAGACUGCAUUAAUGGUCUGCUUACCUACUCGCUCUCUGCACAGCCUCCAGGAAAAAUAGAAGGGACAAAAUUUCAGAUGCUGCUGUGAUAGCCCCAAAGUGAUUCCUCUACUUUCCUACUUCCCCUACUUCUUUUUUUUUUUUUUUUUUUUUCCUGUUGUCAUUACUCUGACCUUUCUGUGGUUGAUUUGGAACUCAUUCUGCCAUUCUUCCUCUCUUUCUUCUCCUGGCACCUUCAAUGGGAAGGCACUUUUUCCUCUGUUGCCACUUACAAAUUGAAAUCAGUAGAGCUAGAUUAGGUUUCCCUGAAAUACAGGUGCUCCUGUAAAUUCAUAAUUAAUUCCCCCUAAGAAUUCUCAGUCCUUAAUUAUGUCUCUUUUUUCUGAUAUCAAGUGUUAAUAGAUAUUUCUCAGUAUACUGAAAGACUUUUCAAUGUCUAACAACUGUGUAAUACAGCAAAACAACUUCUUGGGCACUGUGUGGUGUUCCUUGGCUGCUCUAUGACUGGGUGAAGGUGUUAGGUUUUACCUAUGUAUAAUACAGCUCCAAUGAGAAGUAGUUUGGAUAGAUCACAUAUACACCUAUUGCUUUUCCUCUUUGCUGGCCAGUGAAAUGAUUUAAGCCUUAAGUAACACCUUGUUUCAAUGAAAUAUGAGCUAAUGCUUUGAGAUGGUGAUAGAUGGUAACCUUUUACGUGUAAAUGUACACUUGCUCCCCUAAAAUGUGUGUUUUUUAACCCCCUUCACUCCCAUGGGAAGAACUUUUCUCACUAAAAGUUAGUUUUCAAUUGAAAAAAGGGAAGAUUUGGAAAAUGUUGAGUAACUACUCGUUUAUACUUUAGAAAUACCUAGCCAGUAUAGGUGUUGAUGGUGCCCAGGAGUUAAGAGGUAUGCACUAAUAUCACUAAAUUUGCAAGACUCUGCAAGUUCCUUUUGUAAGUAGGAGAGAAGUUCAGAGUUAGGAAGGCAGGCAAACCUAGUGCCAAGGCAGGCAGAUCCUGUGCCAUCAUGUGGGCAGUACACUGAUGCUGCUGGCAUACACAAUGACAUGACAACACCAAGGAAGUUUCUUUUUCUUCUUUCCUAAUUUGUUCAAAUAAACAGUAAGGCUUCAGUUCUUCUCUGACA